rnacentral:lncRNA from 1 species
UACUGGAAUCACACUGUCUCCUGUCAGCUUUCUCUCCCUCCCCCGGCCCUCCUGCUGAUGAGAGACAGGAGCGAUGGAUGGUCUGAGUUAGCGGGGUCCCGGCACCACCCAGCGCAAAGGCACUGCACUCACGCACGCCAUGCACAUGCUGGCUCACCUCCUCCAUCCCAUGCCUCCCCUGUCUCCAGCAUUCCCUCUGGAAUACAUCAGCACUGUUGCCUUUGAGGCUGGCCUGCUUGAAUGCACACCUGAGCUCCGGAUUCACAGCAAUUUCUUGGAUGAUUCACAGUGGAGGAAGCCAGAUGCCAUGUCAUGAGGGUGCUCAAGCAACUUUUUGGAGAUGUAUGUAUGGAGAGAAACUGAGGCCUCCUGCCAACAGCCAGCACUAACUUGGCAAGCAUGUUUGAGAGCCACCUGGGAAGUGGAGCCUUCAGCCCCAGUUAAGCCUUCAGAUGAGACUGCAGUCCUGGCCACCAUCUGGACUGCAACUUCACAAGAGCUCCUAAGCCAGAGCCAUGCAGAUGGAUUCUUGGCCCCCAGAAAUUGUGCCACUACAUUUUGGGAAAUUUAUUAUGCAGCCAUAGAUUACCAAUACACUCACUAUUUCUUUUUUCUGAUGCCAUACUAUAUUUUUGUUUGCUGAUUUUUUUCCUCCGUCUCUCCCACUAGGCAUUAAGUUCCAUAAGGGCAGUGACUGUGUCUGCGUGGUUCAUCCAUGUGUCCCCACAGCCUGGCAUAUGGAGCUCACUAAUAACUCAGGCAUGGGUAAAUGGAGAUCACUCAUUUUAGGCUCAGCCUAAUAAAUCUCCCUCCUAUGGCUCUCUCUAGAGAGAGCAGUAAAAUUUGCCCAACUUCUUUUUCUGUCUUUCUGUAUUUGAUUUCUUACACUUUCUGUGGCUUUCUGCUUAGUUUUAUUCCUGGCUGCCUGACAGAGGGUGGGUUUAUGCAGAUAAAGAGGCACCUGUGG